GCCAUCUUAGCUCAGCGGUAGAGCGGCUGAUUCGUAAUCAGCAGGUCGGCGGUUCGAAUCCGCCAGAUGGCU
rnacentral:tRNA from 1 species